GCAGAGUAGCCGAGGCGCGUUAAGUGUUGCGAAACGGGACGUUGUUCGCAAACGAAAGGGGAUUUCCCCUGCGGUGCCGUUCGGCGCGUCCGU
rnacentral:ncRNA from 2 species